CCCUUAGAUGUCCUGGGCCGCACGCGUGCUACACUGACGCCUACAGCGAGUACUUCCCAGCCCCGAGAGGUGGCUGGUAAUCAGCAAUAGGCGUCGUGAUGGGGAUAGACCUUUGCAAUUAUGGGUCUUCAACGAGGAAUUCCUAGUAAACGCAAGUCAUCAGCUUGCAUUGAUUACGUCCCUGCCCUUUGUACACACCGCCCGUCGCACCUACCGAUUGAAUGGUCCGGUGAAAUCUCGGGACGGCGGCUUGGUCGCUUGCGUCCGACUGCUGAAACUUGAUUAAACCAUAUCAUUUAGAGGAAGGUGAAGUCGUAACA
rnacentral:rRNA from 1 species